UGAACGCUGGCGGCGUGCCUAAUACAUGCAAGUCGAGCGAACGGACGAGAAGCUUGCUUCUCUGAUGUUAGCGGCGGACGGGUGAGUAACACGUGGAUAACCUACCUAUAAGACUGGGAUAACUUCGGGAAACCGGAGCUAAUACCGGAUGAUAUUUUGAACCGCAUGGUUCAAAAGUGAAAGGCGGUCUUGCUGUCACUUAUAGAUGGAUCCGCGCUGCAUUAGCUAGUUGGUAAGGUAACGGCUUACCAAGGCAACGAUGCAUAGCCGACCUGAGAGGGUGAUCGGCCACACUGGAACUGAGACACGGUCCAGACUCCUACGGGAGGCAGCAGUAGGGAAUCUUCCGCAAUGGGCGAAAGCCUGACGGAGCAACGCCGCGUGAGUGAUGAAGGUCUUCGGAUCGUAAAACUCUGUUAUUAGGGAAGAACAUAUGUGUAAGUAACUGUGCACAUCUUGACGGUACCUAAUCAGAAAGCCACGGCUAACUACGUG
rnacentral:rRNA from 1 species